AUUGGCCUUGAGUAUAUUAAAGCUUGAAAUGUAGUUGCAAUGUAUGCAAACUCCUGCCCCCAUGAAAUCAUUUAAAAAGGACCUGGAUACUUGAUCGAAAUGAAUUGGUUAGCAAUCCAUUUUCGGAUAUAUUUGCUUAGAAUAGCAUAUGCGACUCAUCUGGGAACCCAAUGAGGCGGCACCGGACGUCAAAAUUGAAAUCAGUUAAAGUAGGG
rnacentral:misc_RNA from 1 species